CCUACGGGUGGCAGCAGUGGGGGAUAUUGCACAAUGGGGGAAACCCUGAUGCAGCGAAGCCGCGUGAGUGAAGAAGGAUUUCGGUAUGUAAAGCUCUAUCAGCAGGGAAGAAAAUGACAGUACCUGACCAAGAAGCACCGGCUAACUACGUGCCAGAAGCCGCGGUAAUACGUAGGGGGCAAGCGUUAUCCGGAUUUACGGGGUGUAAAGGGAGCGUAGACGGUUAUGUAAGUCUGGAGUGAAAGCCCGGGGCCCAACCCCGGGACUGCAUUGGAAACGGGGGAACUGGAGUACAGGAGGGGCAGGGGGAAUUCGGGGUGUAGCGGUGAAAUGCGUAGAUAUAAGGAGGAACACGGGCGGGGAAGGCGGCCUGCUGGACGGAAACUGACGUUGAGGCUCGAAAGCGUGGGGAGCAAACAGGAUUAGAUACCCGGGUAGUC
rnacentral:rRNA from 1 species